rnacentral:rRNA from 1 species
UGGCCGGUACAAAGGGCUGCGAUGCCGUAAGGUUAAGCGAAUCCUUUUAAAGCCGGUCUCAGUUCGGAUUGGGGUCUGCAACUCGACCCCAUGAAGUCGGAGUCGCUAGUAAUCGCAGAUCAGCAACGCUGCGGUGAAUACGUUCCCGGGCCUUGUACACACCGCCCGUCACGUCAUGAAAGUCGGUAACACCCGAAGCCAGUGGCCUAACCCUUUUGGGAGGGAGCUGUCGAAGGUGGGAUCGGCGAUUGGGACGAAGUUGUAACAAGGUAGCCGUACCGGAAGGUGCG